AGGCUCAUCUUAAGAGGGAGGUCUUGCCCCACCUCCCUAUCCUUGGAAGGUAUUUCAAUGAGGAUGCAUUUGACUUCAUGUAGGAGGAAAUCCAACCAACACUGGUUAAACCAUAUGAAAUGUAUUACUGACUUUAGGAGUACAGAGGAUGGGUGGUCCCAGGUUCAUUAAGUGGUCCAACAACAUCAGGAUUCCAGGUGCUGUGGAUCAUGUUUAUACAUGUCAUCUCUGGACUUGUGCCUUUGUACAAGAUGCUGGAGGGAUCAGCACAGUGGGCAUUCCACGUGAUUUUCCACAUUGGCAGCAUCUGGUGAUUGGAGGGGCCAACUACUUCCACCACUUGCAUUCUCUUUUUAUUUUUGUCUCAGAGGGACUACACAACCAUAGUGUUCUCAGUACCUAAGGCAGACAUUUCCUGAAACUAGCAGAGAAUGUGAAUAAAUACAAAAUGUUGAGGUUUUGCCUACAAUGAUCCUGUAGGUAUCUCUAUGGCCUAAAAUGUGAAUUUACUUUGCACAUGCAUUUGAAUUUACUAAUGACAAUAUUUAACUCUUGGAAUAAUAGUUUUGUGUUGUAUUCUGUGUAGAGGGUAUAGAUACUCAUUAUCUCAGUUAAUUAGAAUAAUGCUAUGUAGUUUAACACAGCAGAAGUUUAUUUCCCAGUCAUAAUUCCUAUCUGGGAUAGGGUCCGUUGGAGUUUGGCCCCCUAAGGC